AUGAAGAAGAGCCGGUCUGAAAAGAUCCGCAUAAGCAUCAAGUUCAUCGGUUCAGAUUUACGAUUUGUGAGAUUAAAAGGUUCAAGAAAAAUUAGGGUUAUGAUUUGGUUGUCGCCGCACGUCGCCGAGACCAGCAGAAGGGUUUCCACCACAGAUUUAUUUCAACUGUGUAUACGCGCAAGUCCCGAGAAAUUUCAUAGCAGUGGCAACAGCCCACGUGAGAAUCAAUCAGCAAGCCUGCGAAGCAACCAAUACAUCAAGGCAUCCUUAGAUGAAGCGAAUACUUGUGGCAAGCGAUUCCGAGGACUUGUGCCGACCAUGGAAAAAGGUAUAUAA
rnacentral:rRNA from 1 species